rnacentral:rRNA from 1 species
ACUCCUACGGGAGGCAGCAGUGGGGAAUUUUGGACAAUGGGCGAAAGCCUGAUCCAGCCAUGCCGCGUGCAGGAUGAAGGCCUUCGGGUUGUAAACUGCUUUUGUACGGAACGAAACGGCCUUUUCUAAUAAAGAGGGCUAAUGGCGGUACCGUAAGAAUAAGCACCGGCUAACUACGUGCCAGCAGCCGCGGUAAUACGUAGGGUGCAAGCGUUAAUCGGAAUUACUGGGCGUAAAGCGUGCGCAGGCGGUUAUGUAAGACAGUUGUGAAAUCCCCGGGCUCAACCUGGGAACUGCAUCUGUGACUGCAUAGCUAGAGUACGGUAGAGGGGGAUGGAAUUCCGCGUGUAGCAGUGAAAUGCGUAGAUAUGCGGAGGAACACCGAUGGCGAAGGCAAUCCCCUGGACCUGUACUGACGCUCAUGCACGAAAGCGUGGGGAGCAAACAGGAUUAGAAACCCCGGUAGUCCCA